rnacentral:rRNA from 1 species
UACGAAGGGGGCUAGCGUUGCUCGGAAUCACUGGGCGUAAAGGGUGCGUAGGCGGGUUUUUAAGUCAGGGUGAAAUCCUGGAGCUCAACUCCAGAACUGCCUUUGAUACUGAAGAUCUUGAGUCCGGGAGAGGUGAGUGGAACUGCGAGUGUAGAGGUGAAAUUCGUAGAUAUUCGCAAGAACACCGGUGGCGAAGGCGG